UGGGAAGAUGCUGUGCCUCGAGGAUUAGUUUAAACAGGGGGCUAUAAAAGAUGUAACAGAUGCAAACUGUAACACAAGGGCCAUUAACCCUUUCUCUGCCGGGCACACUCAGUCCCCACGCCCCACACCUAUUGUCUCCUGUGCUAGAAGCUUUGCAGAAAACCUGGAAAGGGAAAUCCUGAAAUAAAGAAAUGGUCACACAAGUGUCUGGGAUGAAACAGCUGGCCUGUCUAUAUUCAUCCUGAGACACACGACUGCAUAUAAAUACAUGUUUAAUAAAGUAUUUGCCAAGUCCUAAUUGCUGAAUAUAAUGAAUUGGAACUAGACACGAAAAUAGAGCAGGACCUCUCCCCUUGAUGAGUUUUUAUUCCAGCCAUAUAAUUCUCAAUAAAACUUUUCCUGGGCUGGAUAGCAAAGGACACCUUUGGUUACCUGAAUGGACAGGUACAGGGGAAAUUAUUUGGGGGAGGGAAAAAGGAGAGAAAAGCAAGGAGAGAGAGUGUGAGUGUAAGAGAAAGCGAAGAAGCCACUCUUGAGAAAAGCUUGCCAUAAAGGAGCUAAACCCACCUGAAAUUCCUACCCACGGACACCCCUUCUCACUUCAGACUCACAUCCCCACUCAAAAUGAGAAAAUUAGAAAAGGAGGAUGGAGGACGAGCACACCAAAAAGGGAUAAAAAGAGAGAAAAGGGGAGGAAAAAAAACCUACCUGCGAAGUCUUGUUUGUAGUUUUGGCCAGAAAUGGUGAGAAGAAAAAGCAUGAAGAAGCCGCGAAGUGUGGGGGAGAAAAAGGUGGAAGCGAAGAAACAGCUCCCGGAGCAAACUGUACAAAAACCUCGCCAAGAGUGUCGGGAGG
rnacentral:antisense_RNA from 1 species